GUUUUUUUCCCCUAAACUAUAAAUAUCUAUCUGCAUGUCAACGUUGUACUUAUAAAUAAAUGACCCCACAAAAAAAUAAAAUUAGAAGGGUAGUUGAGAAGUCAACAUUACACCAUUUUUUUCACAUCAUAUUCCAUAGUAUUUAUAUAAUACCAUAACCAUUACAUCCAAACCAAUUGAAAAACCUCAAAUAUUUCUUUCUUUUUUUCUCUAGUUUCUUGCUGUGAUAUUUUAUUUUAUUUUGAGAAAGUUAAAGAAAAAAUGUCUUCACCAUUAUUAAUUUCUAAUGGAUCUGCCGGAAAAGGUGGCCGGAUUCUGAUCGUCGGAGCGACGGGAUUCAUCGGACAAUUUAUAACACAAGCAAGUCUUGAUGCUAAUAGAAGAACAUAUAUUCUUGUUAGAUCAUUUCCAAGUAAUUUUCAUCCUAAGAUCAAAAUUAUCAAAGAAUUUGAAGAUAAAGGGGCCCAUAAUAUUGCACGGUGUUACAAAUGAUCAAAAAUUUAUGAGAUUGAUAUUGUAAUAUCGGUUGGUGGUGGUGAAAGUAUACUUGAUCAACUUGUCCUUGUUCAAGCCAUAAAAGUUGUUGGGUCUAUCAAGAUUUUGGACAUGAAGUGGACAGAUGAAAUCCAGUGGAGCCAGGGCUAAAUAUGUAUAAACAAAAGAGAAAAAUUAGAAGAUUUAUAGAGGAAAUGAAAAUACCUUAUACUUAUAUUUGUUGCAAUUCAAUUGCUUCUUGGCCAUAUUAUGACAAUAAACAUCCUUCUCAUGUUCUUCCUCCUCUUGAUCAUUUCCAAAUUUAUGGUGAUGGCAAUCUCAAAGGUAAAUACAUUUUUCGAUAAUCCGUCAUUAAAUAGGAUCAACGAUAUUUGUUGUUUGGCGAUAGAAAUUGUACGUAAUAAUUCAUGUUUCUUUUUUGAAAAAUGUUUAUAUGUUAAUAUAGGUGUAUGUGUUUAUCAGUGAUAGAUUCAGAAUGACCAACAUGGAUUGUGGUGCACGGAGUGUUUCACCCUUAACCAGAGGUCUCGGGUUCGAGUCCUGGGUAUGGAGAAAAUUAUGUUGGGAGCGCCACCCCCAAAUGGGCUCUACAAUGUGCGAUUCGGAUUUAGUCGGAGCUUUAACGUUGGUUUCGAACAUCGAGUAGGAAAAAAAAAGAAGAUAGAUUUAGAAUGUAAUAACUCAUGUUUCUUUUUUGAAAAAUGUCCAUAUAUUAAUAUAGGUGUGUGUUUAUUAGUGAUAGAUUCAGAAAUUUAAUGAAGAAAAUUUAAAAAAUUAAAAAGUAAAACAUACCAAGAAGUUAAAUAAAUUUAAUGUGUAAUUAACUAUAGAAAAGUGUCAAAAUGCCCUUAUAAAUACCCCAAAUUAAUAACUUGGUCAAAUAUACCUUACUUUGUCACUUAGUUGGAUCAAAAAUACUGUUUUCUUAAUAAAUAGAGACUAAUUUUCAAGGUAAUUGUUUUUUUAUAUUCACUAAUUUUUAUUUCUAUUUAUUUCAUUAAUUUUUCUAAAAAUAAAUGCAGCUUAAUAUAUAGGAAAAUAAAAUUGGAAAAAAAUUACCAAGAGUUACAAUUACUGAGGAUGUCCUAUUAGCUAUUGCCGCAGGUAUAAAUAUAUUAUUUCCGUUUCAUUUUAUGACACUGUUAUUGGUACAAAGCCAUUAUCGUUAACGUGCCUAUGGUGUUACCAUUUAAAUCAUAAUUUUGAAUAGAUUAUAUUAAUUUUUAACGUGUUGUGUUUAAUUUGCAGAUAAAAUAAUCCCUACAAGUGUAGUUGCAUCAUGAAAUUUUUAUAAAGGGCUGUCAAAUUGGAUUUUCAAUUGAUGGCAAAAAAGACCUUGAAGUUUGUGAUUUGUACACAAAUGAGUCCUUUUGCACUAUGGAUGUGUCUUUCAAUGAUUUUUUUAAAAAAAAAGAUGGAUCGAGAAAGACUCGUGAAUAUUUCCCCUUAUUUUGAUGUAAAUAUUUGUCAUUUUCCUUUGUAUCGAUGAAAAAAAUACAAGGAAAAAGGACAGAUAUAUCCCGAACAAUUGUAAAUGGUAUGCAGAUACUCUCCGUCAUACUUUUGGGAUAUUAGUGUCCUACUCCUAAAACUUAAGCAUAUAUACCCUUUAUAUUGACAGACAUACACGUGGCAUAAUAUUAUCCAUCGAUCGGACAUUUAUCAAAUAUCGAAUCGACGGAUAAGAUUGUACCAAUUUUGUCUUCCGUUAGAGUGCAGGACAUAUAUUUCUAAUUUUUGAACGAUAGGGACACCAACAUCCCAGAAAUAUGACGGAGGAUAUUUACAUAUCAUUUAUGAUAGUUCAGGAGUAUAUUCGUCUUUUUUCCCCAAAUAAUAGUAAAGCUCAAUAUCUAUUGAUUUUGUCAUUCCUAUAA